GGUCCAAUAGUGUAGAGGUUAUCACACGGGAUUCUGAUUAUAGAGUUCCCGUAACCCAGGUUCGAGUCCUGGUUGGACCU